GAUUAUUUCUUGAGCUCUGAUCAUUCUUGUUGCUUUUCUCGUGAAACUCUGCCAUUAGUUUCCACACACACCCCCCUCCUGAAGUGGGAUAUCCAAAAAUGGGUUCUGUACGGAUGAGAAAAAGAUCUCACCCUUGUCAGACCUUGCCUCUCCAACUCAGUAUGGAAUAUCAAUAUGGAAAACUUCAUCGGCCACAGUAGACACAAACAGUAUUUAAGGGUCUAUUAAGCUCAGCUUUCAGGAGAUUGCAGUUUGGCCUCAUUGUGUCAUUUGCAAGCUUUAAUAGGCAUUAAGGCUACUACCCCAUACACUAGGGUAGGUGAACACACACCCAGAGGGAAGGAAACUUCUAGAAGCUGUUGGAUCCAGACAUGGAGUUCCCCUAACUGCCAUGCAAGGGCUCCACUACUAGUGUCCUGCUACUAAAGGUCAUUUGCCUUCCUCACACAUGAAAAAAAGAGAUGCAGAAAAUCUGACAUGAGAGGGAGAAAGUGCUGACCUACUGUAACUCGAUCAGUGUUGGUACAAAAUGAUGCUUGGAUAGCAGGAUCAUAUCUUCAUUCUUUCCUUCUCUUACAAAACUCAAUCCGGUUCACACUCAAUUAGUAUAAAGUUUGCUGGAGACUAACUUUCAGAGUCAAUCUAUCUCCCAAGAGACUGGUCAGUAGCUUUAAUAACAAGGAACCUUGUGCUGUGCAGCUGCCCAGGGCUUAUCUCUUGUAGUAUUUAGGAUUCCAUUCAAGAGCAGUUCCCCUUUGUCUGCUGCCUUCAUAAAUAAUAGAUACAUCUUGCAUUAGAGAUUAGCAAAGAUUGUUAAGCUUCCUUUUUUGCAUGUGUAAGAUUUGGUAGCUUUUGAAAUAUUGAUAUAGUUGUGCAAUUUGGUGCACCUAUAAUGUUUUUAAGCAAGAAUUAAAGAAAAAAAAAACAGAGAAGAGGAAAAUGAUGGUAGAUCUAAAAAGCAGAUCUCUGACACUCAAAAACAUCAGAAAAUGUGAUCAUUCCAUUUUUAAAUCUAUGGAAAAAUAGUUGCAUUACUAACUUUUGUAAUAUUCUUUUAAGAAGGCUCUACAGAGAUUGCUGUAGGUUUCAAAGCAAUUACGGUAGGAGGUCAUGAAAAGCCUUCAGGAAAUGCUGCCAAGGUACUGCACCAUCUAAAAGGAAGAACACAGUGCUGGAAACUUUUCAAAGAGUAGACAAAGGAAGACAAAUUUUCAAAGUCCUCUUUACUCAUUUCACUGAUUUUAUUUUUACUGUAAUACUUUACAAUUACAUCUCUUAUCUUUCCUAUUUAACCUUGGUAUUCCUUUUUGGAAAAAAACACAGAUAAUUCACUGCAUGUUUUGGUGGGAACCAGCUUUAUCAAGACUGGUGACUUCUGUUUUUUCUUUUGCAUGCAUGCUACCGAGUUUAACUGUCUAAGCAGUGACAUUGUACUUGUUAUUGUGGUUCUUUGUAUGCAGUGAAGUCCUAUUUCCAGCUCUCUGGCCCAUCCCUUCCGCAUAUCCCACAGACAGGACUCUUAAGUGCAGCUUAUUACAGGGACAAGUUAACCGGUAAUUUCAUUGUGCUCCGUGGCUAGGAUCCUGAAAUGCAGGCUGCCUAGCCAAAAAAGGGUGGACAAAAACGGAAAGGCUGCAUUAAAUAACCAUAAAAGUUACAGGGUCUGAUAAUACAUACAGUUAUGGCAAAAUCAUUGCUUUCAUGCUGUGGCCAACUUGCCAUUAUCCAGAGCUAUGGGAGAGGAGGAGAGGAAUAAAGGCCUGAAAUAACCUAGCUAAUGGAAAAUUGCAGGCAAUAUGGUACUGAGCAACUUGGUGCCAAGGCAUUUGAAUGGUUUGCUGUGAAGUCAGCCAGGAUGGCUGGUGCCACAUUAGUGCUAAUAUGCCCUUCCGGAGCACGCCGAUUCCUUCAGGACCACACAAUUGUGGCCUUUUGUCCACGCUCCACGUUGCGGGGAUGCUCAGAGCUGGCUGAGGAGCACAGCACAGUUGUAUUCAGGGCUCUGCAGGAGUUAGCUCAGGUCCAGCUGGACUUAGUACCUCAAGCUUAGUGCCAGACUUGCUAAACUGAGGCUGGCUUCGUGCAAAGCCACCUUGAGCCACGGGGUGCUUGGACACCCAAGUUGCCUCUGUGCAGAGCAAGAUUCGGUCUGGCGGGAUUAAAUAGUUCAGCGUACAAAACGUACAAAAUUCGUACAAAAUGUACAAAAUUGGCUGAGCUUUCUCAGAGACUAACUUACUCUAGAUAUGGUAUGGCUGUCUAUGCAACAUUCUCUAAACUACCAAGUCUGGCCAGAUCAAAACUGCCUCUGUAAUCAUCAUAGAAUUUAGCCUGAAACCACAGAUCACUGAGAAUGGACUGCUUUAAAGACAGGACAUCUAGACACACGAGAUAUAAGAGAUUUACUCAAAGUCUCAUAGCAUGUCAGUAAGAAGUCCACAGCUAUUCACUAUAUCUCAACCGUUUCCCAAACUUUAGGUCUUCGUCCAGGCUACUCUGUGAAAACAAGGCUGGAGUCUCUGUCCUUACUGCAGGGAAUGGCAGGGUGAGGAACUCCUAACUUGUCAAAUGGAAACUGUAACGCUGAUCGUUCAGCAGACAGAGAGUGGAAAUAACAGGACUGAGUUAACGGGGACUGAAAUAUUCAGCUUUCAUGACCACACAGGGAUACCACAAAAACAAUGAAGAAAACAAAGCUAUUUGGAAGUUGGAAAGCCGGGGACAGGUACUCUAUACCCAAAUGGAUUAGCUAAGGCAUGAUUGACUAGAAUUACAUGUGCCUUUCUAAAUUACCCAUUUAGCAGCACUAGGGAUGUGAAGAGGGCAAGAGAGACCGACCACAUUGUUUUCUUUUGUCUCUGAGGCAGACUGUUUGGACUGGAAGAGGAUCAGAACUUGCAACAAGCUCUUCACUCUUCUAAGAUUCAUCAGGUUACACACAAUGCAUCUGAAAGUGGCUUAGCCUCUCCUCACAUCAUAAAUAUGCUAUGGAAGGAGAGUGAGAAAAUACAUAGAGAAAUGACAAUAUUUGGAACUUUCCUCUCUUUCAAUUUUCUUCUUGGUGACCUCUACUCACAUUCCUCCAUGAGCUAUCAUUUGAUUCCUCUCUUCCUCCAACUUUUCCUAUUAAGAAAUGUGAAAUAACCCACAGAAAUCUUUCAAAACAUAGAAACAGGGACACCAAGUCAGGGAACAUCAGUACAGCCCAGUCUCCCAUCUCUAACGGUGGGCAGCAGUAAAUGCCUAGAAAAGAACUUAGCAACAGAGCAAGUGCAUGAUAUUGUUCCCAGAAUAUCUAUCGAGCACACAGCAAUUUGUGGUUCAGAGGAUUCCUGAACCAGACAUGGUGAUUUUGCAUGUAAUAGCCCCCAAUGGAUUCAUCUUUCAUUAAGUUGUCUAGUCACUCUGGAACCCAUGCUAAUUUUACUCAUCUACAGCAUUUUGUGGUGAGGGGGGUCACAUCUUCAGCAUUCUGUUGUUGCUUAAGGUUCUUGGUUUUGAUAUUUGAAGGAGAGAUUUCAGGAAAUAUUUCAAGAACUGACAAACUAGGGUUGAUGAAUGGAGGAUGUGAUUCUCCUUCAGAAGAUCAGACAAAUGUAUCUCUACCUUUAAACAAACAAAAACCCCACAGCUGAGCACAACGGUAGCAUAUGUUUGUACACAGUGAAAGUUCUUGAGUCUGGUUUCAGGUGCAAGCCUUUCGUCAUGCACAGUUGAAUCCAUCAGAAAAGUUCUCAAGAAGUAAUCUAAACUUGGCUGCAUAGUGGAACUGUGCAGAUAUAUUGCUUUUUGAUAAGCAUUGAACUGAAUUUAUGCUGCAGUGUGGCUAGACAGACUCACUCCCAUGGAGUUUCAUAAGCAGCAUCUUCUGUUUUCCACCAUUCCUUCUUGCCAAAGAAGACAGUUCCCUGUGCAAUUCCUCAUAACGGUCAAAGGAAUUCACAACAGAAGCGUGAAUUCUAUUGCAUACUGAGAAAAAACAGAUCCUUUGUGCCUUAAGGUAAUGGAGCAUAUCUAAAAUAAUACAGCACAAGCAUUAAGCUCAGCAAGAAAAAUUCUGUUCUGUUACCACUAGCUUAUUGACAGAAAAUGAAGCUGAAAAAUUUGGCCAAGCGUACUUCUGUAGUUUCUUCACGCCUGGUUGUUGUGUUCAAACAAAGGCCUUCUCUUUUCCACACAAUAUAAAUGCUCCUUGUUCAAACCUAGAGUUCAUAACUUAAGAAUUUGUUCCUAGAGAAAUUGUUUUAUUGUUGUUACUAGCGCUACCGAGAAGAAGACAAAAAAAAAAAGUUUUAUUAAAGCAUUUAGGAUUCUCUAUUAUAUUAAUACAGGCAGAAAGAGGGGAAACCCUAAAGCAGUGAGAUGACUUUGGACAGCCUGGCCAGCAAUAGCCGCUGCAGCCUGCUGGCAUGCCCAGUUUGACCUGACAUCAGCUGGGAAUUGCCACAGAGCGAGGUGCUGAGAUUUGGAGAGAAAGCCCUGGCAGAGAGGUGGAAGUCCAAGGUACCUACAAGGAUACGUCACCUGAUUUUGUGUAGGUGGAUGAGGUUACAUUGGGCCGAAGGUGGACAGGGAGAAGGCAAGACCAGGGAGAAUUUGCCCAUAGGAUCUGCACAGAAAGCUGGAAGAGGGAAAGGAAGACCUUCAAUAAAAAUGCUGGAAGAGGAGCUGGGAGGAGCAGAAAGAGAAAUUAGUAUGAUGGGAGACAUUCAGUAUGAUAUGACCCAGCACGGGACUAACUAGGAACAAAAAGUGGUUGGAGAGAAAUCCAAAAUCAUUUAUAAACUCCAAAAUGCCUUCUCUGAAGAUGUGGGUCAAGAAAUAUAAUAAUAAAUGAAAGGGUCAAAGACUCAUACUUUCGACUCUAAUACGCGCAAGUAUCUUCCCCUACACAAAAGUCUGCCUUUCCAGUGUAUUGUUCUUUGCUGCAGUGGUGAAUAAAUUCUGCUUUUGGAGUUCGGGGGGGUGAGAUCUGCUUUCUGCUUCCCUCUGAGGACACCAAGGGCCCAGAAGCCGUGGGACGCUGAACAGCAGUGGUGUGAGCAGGAGAGGGGACAGAGUGGCUCCAUAGAUUACUAUGGUCCGGUAAGCAGGAUUUUGCGGAGGAAGAGUGGGCAACUAGACCACAGGGCUGUCGUUCAGCUGACUGACUGCUUCUCAGCAAGGCAACGCGAGGUGGGAGCUGCAAGCAGCCACAGGGCCACAACCGUCCAGAGGGAGAACCAGCACAUCCCCGUCCCUGUUGAAGUCCACACUGAAAGGAGGAGAGAAAAUGCUUUCAACUGCCGCAGCCCCAAGCAUCUCACCUGGGCUCUUGCACCCUCAGUUCGAGAGGAUAAAGAUUUUGCCCUGAGGAACAGACGUAGGUUGUUCUUCAGCCACUACUAUGUCACGCUGUGCUGUUUGCUGUAAACUUACAUUCAAAACAGAGCUGGACUUUUGAACUGGAGGCCCCUGGGGAGGCAGAGCUAUGUACCAUUACUAAAUUUAGAAGCUUCUGAAGUGGAAAAAUGGUAAAAUGUUUUGCAAAUAGCAAACUUUUCAGGAUGCAGUGCACAAGAGUGGUUCCACACAGCCCGGCUGCUACGAACAGAUGAUUGGGAAGCGGGCAAUCAUUAAUCUCCUUCUGGAAAGACAUAUAGAUUCCUGAACUGUUCACAGAUGACUUCAGAUACAUCCAGAAUGAAAGGCCUGAUUUUUCUUCCUGGCUCCAGUCACACAGAGUGUUUCACACUGGCAUUUCUGCCUAGGAAUCGCUGUUCCCUGAGGAGGCAUUUGAACCCUCUGCAGAAACAGAUGAGUCUAUGUAAAAGCUGCCGCAUUUCCUUGCGGGAAGGGUGUUUUUGCCCUAUAUUUGGCACCUUUUUUUUUUUUUUUGAGAAGCUUCAUAGGUAUAAUCAAAAUUGAUUACUAUGUCAGAUAAUCACGGUAUUUAUGGCCUUUAUCACCUUCAGCUCAGUUCAGAGUAUUUAAUUAUACUUCAGGUAUAACUUACUUUUCUGUACAAUCUUCAAAGACAUUGUUCUGACGGCAACAUACAGCCACCUCCUCAAAUAAGUUAUUAUUUCUUAAUAUCAAGAUACAUAGUGUUAAGUAGGAUACCUUACUACUUUGUGUCUUGCCGUGGCUUGUUUACAAAGAUCUGUAAGAAAUCUGGCUUCGGAUUUCUUGACUCUCCUGCAAAAGCCCAUCCACUGCAUUGCAUCGCAACAUCUGCUUCAUGUAAGCUCCUUGAAGUUCACUGGGACUCAGCGUAACGAGUAGCAGCUAGGGGUUCGCUUGGCUGGUGGGGGCAAGUGAACGUUCAUCUGCAGAACCCUGCUGACAAGCACUGCGGUCACUACAAGUGAUCUGUGUAUUUCCAUGGAUAUUCAAAACAGUAAGUCCAAGUGGCUCUUGGAAUCUACAAACUGGAAUAGAUAAAGAGGAACAGAAAAAGCCCAGAGCUAUGCUUCCUCCUUUAGUUUUUAUUCAUUAACAAUAGAGAUGCAGUGAAAUAAAAUGUGUGUACUUAGACCAGAAUGCUUUACUAUUUAGAUAACCGAAUUAUUUAAUAACGAGGUAAAAUCCUAUAAAAAUUAGCAUUUUGCUUCUUGUGUUGUGGAAGAUACAAUGCAGACCAGUAGUUCAGGGUAAAACUAGGAUAAUACAGUUGCAUGAAUUAUGAGACAAUAUAAUUUAAGAGAAAAUGUAAUUCUGUUGCAACACCAUCUCUUGAUUUAAGUUGCACAGCAGGACAAGGGUUUCCUAAGAAAAAUUUGAUAACCACCAUAGAGGUUUUUUCUUUUUUUAGUUGCCUAGUUACAGAGUUUGCAAGCAUAUAUUACAAGGUUAGCCCAUUUGUGAGGUAUCCUAAAUAUGUUAGGCCUGAAACUAUAGCCUUGGCAGUGCACCAGAGACCCAAAGCUUUCUUACAGGAGACUCUGAUAUGCAUCAGUUUCCAAUAAAACCUACAGAUUAAGAGGAUUUUUGGCAUACAAAAAGGUCCAGGCUAGACCCAGACGGACAAUGACCCAGUGUUUCUCCAUGGGUUAGUCAUGAGGCUUCUUUGUGAUUCAAUCCUCUUGAUAUCUGUAAUAUGCAAAACAAAGGUAUAUUUCCUUCAUUUCUAUAAAGAAUUUUAAGAUCUACAAAUAAAAGAGUUGUAUAACAGAGCUAAGUACUAUUAUCCUAAGUAACACUACUGCUGUGUCUUAAAUCGAUGUAUCUAUAAUCUAUGAUUCAUAGAUUUGCUCUCUUUUUAGUAUUAGUUUAUACCAUUUUUGUGGGGUUUUAAUUAUUUUCAAUAUUUUCUGAUGUCAUGCUCUAGAAUUUGCAAGGAUUCACUUUCCUCAGGACUCUGGUCUAGAACGUGAAUUGCCAUGGUAUCUGCUCCUCUCCUGUAUGGUCGCAAGGGCAACCUUGAAACUGUGACGGCAUCAUCAACUGGUGCAGUAAUGUCUUCCUGAGGCUGCAAACAGUCUGAAUUUAGCACAAUAAACCACCUGUUCAUAUUCCAGGGGACCAUGCAUACGCUGUGAUUCUGUGGCUAGGGUAUAAAAUUUGUCUAAGAAAAAACAGGCAGUGCCUUUUUACUCAAAAUAUUUCACCUUCUCCAACGCCUUCUCUCCAACACAUUUCCUCUUUUUCUGCCCUACCAUGACCGCUGUGAAUCUGCCCUUUUUUCAGCCCUCUAGGAGCAAAUUAAUUGGAUUAAGCGGUCACUCCUUCAACCACCACGAAAGGAAGUAGGGUGUUAGAGAUCCCAUCUGCAGCUCUUCAGGCAGAAAGCCGUGCAUGCAGAAGGCAGAACCGGGCAGCCCAAGGACCAGCUGGGAAGCUGGGACCAGCCAAGUCCCAGCGUGGAGCUGGUGAAGCCGCCUAAAAGCGACCUCUUCCCUUUGAACAAAUGGAAGGGAAAGAAGGUGCUGAAUAAACAUCAGCCAAGCCAAGACCCGAGGAGCAGAGCCUAGCCAAAUGAGAGGUUGUCCUAUGCUAUAAAUGUACUGAGGGCGUUCGGGAAAGCUUCUGUCGCACAUGGGCAAAAGAUUUGCGGGAUGGCCACAACGGGCCACAUUGCCAAGUUGUCUUCUGGUCCAGAGGAAUCCUUUCAGCAGAUCGACAUCUCAGACUGAUCAUAGGGAAAACCUUGUGGACACAAUACAGAACAUGUGGAAUGGAGAAACCCAGAAGAAAUAUUAGAUUACUGUGACAGGACAGGAGAAAG